rnacentral:rRNA from 1 species
AGCGAACGCUGGCGGCAGGCCUAACACAUGCAAGUCGAACGGAUCCUUCGGGAUUAGUGGCGGACGGGUGAGUAACACGUGGGAACGUGCCCUUUGGUUCGGAACAACUCAGGGAAACUUGAGCUAAUACCGGAUGUGCCCUUCGGGGGAAAGAUUUAUCGCCAUUGGAGCGGCCCGCGUCUGAUUAGCUAGUUGGUGAGGUAACGGCCCACCAAGGCGACGAUCAGUAGCUGGUCUGAGAGGAUGAUCAGCCACACUGGGACUGAGACACGGCCUAGACUCCUACGGGAGGCAGCAGUGGGGAAUCUUGCGCAAUGGGCGAAAGGCUGACGCAGCCAUGCCGCGUGAAUGAUGAAGGUCUUAGGAUUGUAAAAUUCUUUCAGCGGGGACGAUAAUGACGGUACCCGCAGAAGAAGCUCCGGCUAACUUCGUG